UUAUGAAUAAACUUGCGGUCGUUGGUCUCUCUUGUUCUUGAGUAACACGUGUAAGCGUAACACGUGAUCCAGGAAACCGGUAUAUCGAGUAAUUUCUGUCUUAUCCGUCGUAAUUUUCAACAGAUUAUGGGCCUCGUUUCGUGCGACUAACUGUUGCAUUAGGCGAUUAUUUUUUCGAAAAUAAUAUUCCGUAGUGAAGAAAAUAUAUUAGUCGCAAAGUGUGUCCUAAAAUCACGUGUUCAGGUGGAACGUGAAAGUACUGUAAUAAUACGAAUAGUAUGUCGAUAUUUAAUAUGACUGGCGAAAAUACAAUGUCAAAUAAUACAAGUACAGAAUCAAAGCGGACAGAGACGGCAAUGCUAUUCGUGGAAGAGAACCAUCAUCUAUGGCACAGAAGAGCAACGCUAAAAAUUAGAAAUUGUCAAUUCAGACAUCUGUGGGCCUAUGAGCAAAUAUGGGCUAAAAGGAGUAAAAUAUACUUGCCUUCAUGAUUACACGCGUAAGGUAUUCGGGUAUUUUAUUAAAACUAAAGAUGAGGUACCGGUAAAAUUCACAGAGUUUAUGGCGAUGGUAGAGCGAUAAUCUGAUAACAAAAUCAUGGCUCUAAGGACCAAUAACGGAAGGGAAUAUGUCAAUCAUGAGUUGAGAAGGUUUCUAAAACAAAAAGGAUCUUAGAACCGUACCAUACACACCAGAGCAAAAUGGAAUAGCCGAAAGACAGAAUAGGACCAUUAUUGAGAAAGCUAGAAGCAUAUUGUGGGACGCUAAAUUGGAUCAUAGAUCCAAUGGGCAGAGGCUGUAAGUAUCUCUCAAUUUAUCUCAAAAACCAAUCAUCUACAAAGCUGUUAGAAAUAUGACACCCGAAGAGGCAUGGACUGAUAAGAAAGUGGAUCUUUCACAGUUGAGUCUGGAUGCAAGACAUUGCUCCCAACAAGCAAAGGAAAAAGUUUGAUCUCAAGUUAAGAAUUAUCUUCAUGGGUUGAGGUGAAAUCAUACAAAUUAUAUGAUUCAGAUAGGAAUAAAGUAAUUUGUGCACGAGAUGUAGUGUUCAUAGAAAAUGAUAAAGAUAAUAUAAACGAAAAUGAUACAGGUAGAGCAGACGAUUUGGAACAAUUGUAAAUAUCAUCGAUGUCUGAAAGCUUCCAUGAAGUACCUGAUGAGAACGCAAGGAUUGAACGCAAUGAACUUGCUACCUUGACAUGGAGAUAUCCAAAAAGAGUGAGAAAACACCCUAUUCUUUAUCCUGUGACACUUGCAUGGUAUGCUAAAGAACAUGAAGAUGAAGCAACAACCCUGCAAGAAGAAAAACUCUGAAUUGUGUAAAGGGAAUAGGCAUUGAGUAAUAAUGUUGUAAGCAUAGAAAAUCCAUAUAGUGAGCGAUAGAUUAAGGGGGAAUGUUGGGGAGAUCUAAUCUCCAGCUCUAUAUGUUUCUUUGUCUGUACAACUUAACUAGCGACACUUUGUACAUUAUAAAUAAACUAGCGGUCGCUGGUCUCUUUGUUCUUGAGUAAUUAUAAGCGUAACACGUGCGUGAUUCAAGAGUCCGGUAUAUCAAGUAAUUUCUAUCUCAUCCGUUUGUAAUUUUCAACAAAUAUCAAUUAUCGUGCAAAUCGUUUAUGCCGUACGCGUUAGCACGAUAAACUUCAGCAUUCUUAUCCGAUGAAAUGAAAUUUUGUCGAUCAUGUACGAUACUGUUGGCAGUACAAUGUCACCGGACAUUAAAUUAUAGAAAAUAAUAAGUUAAUACAAGGUCGAUUAUGUUCCUCGUCCACGCAUAAACAGAUCACUUACAUGUCGUCAGCAGGAAUCGCAUCUAGAGCGAGCAACGUGAUUCGAAAAGAUCGUCCUCUCCUCGGUUUUCGAGCCCAAAGGAUCGUGUGUCCGCGCGAGGUGAACACGUUUAUGAGAGGAUAACGAGACCGUGGACUUUUUUAUAGGUUCUCAGCAACCCCCUUCUCGACCCCUAAUGUUUAGUUUUGUCAUCAGCUCGAUUGAAAACUGUGAGAACGUGUCGCAACCAAGCACGAUCCAAAGGUUUCUUUCUCGUUUGGCGAACGUCACUGCGAAGCCUGCCGUGAAUUUCGUUAAUUAACGUUAAGGUCCAGUGACUCGGGAAAUUUCCGGCGUAAAAGAAGUCCAUGAGCCAGUGCGAUGGCUACAUUCACAACAGCAGAUGUUGUAUGUACUUCGCGGUGAUAGAUUUGCAACGUGAAGAAUCUUCACGCGAAUUUGGGGUAGUUUGUUCCAUUAUUAGGGUUGGUUCGAAUAAUAAUAAUUUACUCUGCGAGGCGAAUUCCAACACACAAAAUUGAUGUUUUAACGUAAACUUGUUCAUAAACCUACAACAUAAACUUGUCUACAACUGUGGCAUGGAUAUUAAAAAGGGGCAGAGUUCAGUGAAAUCUAAAAUUACUUCUAUAUUUAUUUGAACGAAUUGAUAUUUAAAAUCAAACUAAAGAAUUAUUUGAAAGUUAUUCGUUCGAUCUCGACACGAAGCAAAAUUAACUUCUUCGAACUCUGUGGCUCGUUGUCGUAAACUCGACGAUAUCUUCCUUUGAAAUCAAAUUUACCCAAGCUUGAUUAGCCCCAAGGUGCUAUUAUACAUUUCGUUUUAUGUGAUUUAUCGCACGAAAGUGAACGAUAAGUACGUUAUCGCCAACUGUCGCGAAUGUCUCGCGUUGGCCCGAGAACUUCUCAAAACGCAAGCCAUCUUCUCCAAUGUCAUCGUCUUUUAUUAUUGCUACAAAAAAAAGAACACGAAGUUACACGCAUUUCCGACAACGGUAGAUGGAUCUCGCGAGUAGAGAUGGAAGGUGUGCCUGCGAUCAGCUAUCACAUGUCGAGUGGGUCACGCGGAUCAAUCAUAUUUGGUCGCGCGUGUCCUGAAUAUAAUUUACAAGAAGCCUGGUCUAUGCGUAUACUUCUGGCUAAACCGUGUUAUCCGCGACUUUUAUCUUUUAACGACGUCGUUCGACGGAGUGAACGCAAUAAAGUUUCGUUUCAGUUGGACAAGUUACUUGAAUUCAAGCGACAAUGAAUUCUCGACUUGAAACCUUUGAGAUAUCAUCUUAAGUUUCUAUAACUUCGCUCAUUUUCGCUUGAUUUUGAAUAACACGAUCGAUCGACAAUAACGUCAAUCAGUCAAUGUUAUUUACAAUUAUGGUUUUCUUUAGAACAUCUAUUGUCUCUCCUCUGAGAGGACUCCAUUGGAAAGCAUCUUUCGAGUCUUUUCAGUUGCUAACUACCUAUUUUCAUCUUAUCUUUCGCCAAGUCGAGUCACUUGAACUCAAAUACUCGAAUUUAAACGUGGACGAAGCUUCAAGCACGUCUCGUCACUCUCAGAACUUGGUCGCGGAUACACAAGUCGUCGUUUCUCUUUCUUUUUUUUUUUUUCUUUCUUUCUUUCACGUGUCUCUUUUCUUUAAUUGUACAUAAGGGCAGUGUUCGAGUACAUAGCAUAAGUAGCGUAUCGCGAAACAAGUUCGCCUGUGAUGUAGUCGAUUCGCCGCGAUGAAGGAGUGUCACACACGCGCCGAAAUCGAGCCGAAUUUCGCCGACGGAGAAGUUCUUUGUACUGCGACGGAGUGUAUCGUUAAAAAGACGGCCAUCUGUUUCAUAGGACAGACGGGGAUCGUUCGUCACCACAUAUUCUUCAUUACUAUUCCAACAAUGUGUCUCGAUGUUGCUCGUGUGCCCGUGCAAUCGUUCGACGACAAAUGUCUGAAAGGAAAUUAUUUGUUUCCUGGAUAUCGAUGCGCGCGAAUCGCAUCCUCUGAGAUCACACGCUUUCGCCUAAGCUGCACUUUUUUUUUCUUUUUUUCUUAUCGUAUAAAUUACACGUUCACUCUUUCGAGGACGUUUCGAAGCUGAUUCAGGGGGGGUGGUAAGUUUGUUAAUCCUUUGCGGUCGUACGUCUGCUCUCGGCCAUUGGAAUAUCCUUUACUUUCAGUUUCAAUGCUUUCAGGAUUUUUAACUCGUUAAGGACCAACCGGGUAAAACAACCGUGAACGCGACAUCGUUGUAAAAUCUAAAUAACGUAAAUAGUUAUUUUGUCAGACUGAAGAAAGAAAAAAAAAAAAUGUAUGACGCGUUAUAAGAUUGUUCCAAGGUUUCCAAAAAGAAUUCUACGAUUGGGAUCAACACAGUGACAGAAAAUAGUCCGAGUUUCUUCGAAUUUCAUUUCAAAAACUUGUAAACGACGUUGAGCUCUUUUUUUCCCCUUGAAAUCCAUUUUUCAUAACUGCAACACGAAAUCUGUGUCUGAAAUGAAAAGACGAGCGUUGCACCAGUGAAAACUCAAUAAGUUUGGUCCUUAAUAAGUUACCGAGACUUUAGCGCGGUUGGACAUUUCCGUUUCUAAAAAAUAUUUGCUAAGGAAUGUGUUUUAAAAUGGCAGAUAGGCAGUUAGUCGUGAUUGCGGAUAUUUAUACAAAAUUCGUACUUUCAUGAACACAGUUAAGACAGUAGUAGAAGAUUCGUAUUGCUAAACGUUGUAACAAGUGUACGCUACCUUAUAUACUUUUCUAUUAAUAACUUUAAACUUUUCAGAAAUGUAUAAAAACCCGCAAUUUCAUUAUUCAUUGGCGCUCAACGAAGAUCAACCCCGACUUGUAUCUAAACCGCAAAAGAUUAAGAGUCCACCUGAGUCACCAUCAAUAUACACUUGCGUAUUUUUGUUACUGUUGUCGCUCCGUUUCUUGUUGUGUUACGAUUACCAUUAUUAUUAUACAUAUGCAUGUCGCAUUGAUGUAUCGUACAAAAAGCUUACAAAUUAUUAUCACAUAUAUACGUGUACGUACGUGCGCGAACGCCUACACAGGUACACGAAUAUACAUACAUAUAUAUCUAUAUACAUAUACUUAGAAAUAUCCGCGCGUAGAAUGCGCCUUCGCAAAUGGAACAAACUGAAUACCGUGGGUACGCGAUUAUUAUCGAUCAGCGGGGGAAAAAAAUGUCAAACAAUCGCGAUGGAACUGUCUGACGCCGGUAAUCUCACACAUUCACGUGUAUUCGUGUAUUCAUGUACAAUUGUUCGGUGAAUUGAUUUCAGGUUUAGAUUUCGGGCGCACGAUAUGGCACUCGGAUCUCUUUUCGCCGAUUCAAGCGCACACCUACACGCGUAUUGUUGUUUUCCAAUGUUCUAGACUAUACUACGUGCAGCGCUCACACAUACGCCUGUGUACAGUACAGAUUCGAUAUUCAGGUUUAUAUCUACACGUGUACUCGCGUGUAUGCAAAGUUUCGCACACCCUUUACACGGCUUCUAAUCGCACUCGCGCACAUAACCGAUUAACAAAAUAGUCUAUAAGUUAAAACCCCUUGCCAGUCACGGGCUUACGCAGCUUUUGCCAUGAUUAUUUCGUAGUAUGCAAGAGCUGCAUUUGUACGAGUCUCGUUCAUGUAGUCUUGUGAGAAAGAAUAUUAUAAAAGCCAAGUCGGUCCGGCUGAAUUCUCGCUCAACAUAACAUAAACCCCGUCGAUGUAGUGUUUAUAUCUGAGCUCGAGCGUGAAAGAGAAGAAAAUAUUGUACAAGCAUUUGAUAAAGGCUUUGAAAUAAAUCCAAAGGCUGUAAUUUGAUUAUCAUAACACCGUGGGAGGCGUAGACAAGGCAGAUCAAUUUUUGAAAAAUUAUGAAAUAAUAAAACGUGGAAGAAACAUUUAUUUUUCAUUUUUUACAAGUAAGAAAGACUCAUUUACCAGUUGAAUCCCCCCCCCCUUUUUUUUACAUUAGAAUAACAUAAAUAACCAAUUUAUGAAAAAAAAAAAAAAAAACAGGUAGUCAUUUUUUUGGACCGAUUUCGACAAAUUUGCGGGACUGGUAAGGAGUUGAAUGUAAAGGAGCGUUGCGACGCUCCGACGCUGCCUUUGUUCCAUCAUUUCUUCUUUUUUUCUUUUUUUUUUUUUCUCUCUUUUAUUUUCUUCUAUCGCUACACCUUCGCAGUUUCAUUCUCUCUCUCUCUCUCUUUCACACACACAUUCUCUCUACAUUCUACAUAUCUCCAUACCCACGACAUUCUCGCGAACGUAGGCAUAUAGAUACAUACACACAUAUACAUUUAUAUUCGUCUCUAUAUAAUAUACGUAUAAAAAAAUAAGUCCAGUCCUUGUAACUCGAAUGAUUGCCAAAAAAGAAUUCACCAACGAUUCCAUCUGCGUCCUCGUUCGAAGAGGUCGAUCUCUUCCUCGCGGUCUCUUCGCGCUGCAAAUCAUUCUCUUCGGGUUACCAGUGGAAUCCACGCACGGAAUUAAAUCGUUCUCGCGAUGAACGAGCAGCGCGUGUCCAUUUUCGCGAUACUAGUACAGCCGAGUACCCUUUGUCGUCCUCAGCCGAUGCGUCGAUUUGUCGCGUCUUUCCUCUGUUUUCGUACGCUCGCGUCAGUAGGAAAGAGUACUACUCGUACUUUGAUUUUCGUCGCUGUUGUCGUCCAUUCGUAAAGAUCGCGUAUUACAUCGUUCGCGGGCAGUCGAUCGUUCCGCUCGAAAGCUGGGCUGCGAGUAAGAGGAAAGGCAUGGAAAAACAAACGGAUAAAAUA